AGGUCCAGAAUGUCAAUUUGCAACUGUAAAGUCUAAAUAACAAAUUUAAUAACAAUAACUUUGGUAUAAAUGUGUAUACCUAUAAAAUUGAACAAUUUGAGCAGAUUUGCGUUUUUCAAUGAAAAAAACUGAAAAAGUUUUAUAAUUUUUAAAGAGGACUUCUAAAGACUUUAGGGACUUCAAAAAAACGAAUCGAAAUGAAUAACAUUACUCUCGUCGAGGAAAUAGAGAACGGAAAUGGCCGAGAGUUUUGUUGGUGCACAACAUGGCUUUGGAACUUUGCCAGGAUUAACAAGAUGCACAAGUGUUUGAACAAUUGCGUGAUUUGUCGCAUUCAUAUGUGCAUUUAAUGGAAAAUUACAUUCCCCACUGCAAUAAUAUGCGUCAUAACCGUCGGGUGCAAUAAUCCAGUCCUAAAAAACAGAGAUAAAAGUUCAAGGAUAAAUAUACAGAUUUCCGAAGGAGUAGUCUAGCCGUGAGUUUCGCAAUAAUCUGAGAGUCAAGGACGUGCAACCAGAUUCUACAAUAAACUCAUUCUAUAAGACAGAAAGGAAGAAUUAUUCAGAAAACAAGAAACAUGAAUGAGGGGAGGACGAAGAAAAAUACUCAAUUUUGAAAUUUUCAUUCGAAUUGAAAAUUGAGAGAGAGAGAGAGAGAAAUUUCUACACUCUGGUGAUAGAGUCAAAAUGAAAAAAAAAAUUGAUCAUUGUAGGAACAAAUUCACAAAGUCCAAUAAAUGAUAAAAUGAAGACAUCAUAGGAAGAAAUAGAAAUAGAAAAAAAUAUACACAAUAGAAAAAAAAAUCUAUACAGUGACAAAUGAAUCGAAUAGUUGGGGAGGACCUUCAAUAAGAUUUUGUCCAAGUUCUUUAUAACCAUCAUCAGCAACUUCAUCAUCAUCAUUAUCUUUAUGUGAGAGUGAAGUAUAUAACUGGAUAUUAAGAGAGAAAGAAAAUAUAUGUAUACGUGUCGCAAUAGAAAGACGCACCUCUCCUCGAGAGGCACAUAUAUACACAACAAUUCUCUCGAUGUUAAAAUAAAAGUCGAUGUAUAUGCCGGUGAGCUACCAAUACAAAAUCAGAAUAUGUAUAUAAAUAUAAAGGUGUAGCACCGAUCUUGUGUUUUAUAUUGAAUGAUUAAAGGUAAACCGGUUGCCCAGUGGGACCUGGGGGAGAGUUACGCGAAUGCUCGAAAGAGAGACCUGUGAGGAGUUCGCGGUGAGGGACGUAAGAAACAAAAUGAUCUAGGCGCGGCAAACAACAAACUAUACGCGCCUCAUUCUCUAUAGACCCUCUCUUUUUAUUAUUAACACUCUCCUUGCUCUCCUUGCCAUAUGAACGAGCUUAUUAUCCCCAGGAAUAAAAAAGAAUCCCUGUUAAAAUUGGGUCACAUGAUCCUUUCUUUUCUUCUUUUUUUUCUUCUUUUUUUCUCAAAAAAAAAAACCACAGUAACAAAAAAACAUCAUCUCUUGGUUUUUUUCCCCCAAAUUUCCAUCUCUUGUUGUAUAUUUAAAUCCCAUAAUAUAUUCGGUUUCAGUUACAAACAUAUCGAUUGAAGAUCUAAUAGUUUCAACAUUCAAAAUAGUUUUUCAUUUGGAAAAAAUUGAAUUUCGCCUUUUUAAACUUUUAUU